rnacentral:rRNA from 1 species
AGCGAACGCUGGCGGCAGGCCUAACACAUGCAAGUCGAGCGGGCACCGCAAGGUGUCAGCGGCAGACGGGAGAGUAACACGUGGGAACGUGCCCUUCGGUUCGGAAUAACUCGGGGAAACCCGAGCUAAUACCGAAUACGCCCUUACGGGGAAAGAUUUAUCGCCGAUGGAGCGGCCCGCGUCUGAUUAGCUAGUUGGUGAGGUAACGGCUCACCAAGGCGACGAUCAGUAGCUGGUCUGAGAGGAUGAUCAGCCUCACUGGGACUGAGACACGGCCCAGACUCCUACGGGAGGCAGCAGUGGGGAAUAUUGGACAAUGGGCGCAAGCCUGAUCCAGCCAUGCCGCGUGGAUGAUGAAGGCCUUAGGGUUGUAAAGUCCUUUUAACGGGGAAGAUAAUGACGGUACCCGUAGAAUAAGCCCCGGCUAACUUCGUGCCAGCCGCCGCCGUAACAC